GUCGGUUAGUCGGGGUGCGAAAAUCGCUGAGAAAUACCCGUGAACCUGAAGCAGUUAGCACUGACGUAGGAAACUAAUCUCCUCUUCCU
rnacentral:ncRNA from 1 species